AUGAACGCUGGCGGCGUGCUUAACACAUGCAAGUCGAACGAUGAGGCCCAGCUUGCUGGGUGGAUUAGUGGCGAACGGGUGAGUAACACGUGAGUAACCUGCCCUUGACUCUGGGAUAAGCACUGGAAACGGUGUCUAAUACCGGAUACGAACUUCGACGGCAUCGUCAGGAGUUGGAAAGAAUUUUGGUCAAGGAUGGACUCGCGGCCUAUCAGCUUGUUGGUGAGGUAAUGGCUCACCAAGGCGACGACGGGUAGCCG
rnacentral:rRNA from 1 species